CCAUUCACCAGCGUCAUGGAGACCUGAGGGUUCUCGUAUGCAAGGACGGAGAAGCAUUUUAACGCCUGCAUUCGUACCUUAAAGGAUGGUGACGUCAGCAGUGGCGCGAUGUUCUCGAUUGCGCCAUUGUUAAACAAAACUGUCUGAUGCUCUGGAGUCUGAACAAACACAGACAUGUAAAAAGCCUAGAUGACCUAAAGCAAGGUUUAACACUGCUCAGGAGCUACAACUGCACACCAAAGUAAUAACACAAGCAAGAGAGCACUUAAAUUAAACUGUUUAGGUCAGUGUUCUGUAAACUCUGUCAGGUCAAAAGAUUGGAACUGUCUAAAAAUAUUAAAAGAUUCGAUUAAAGUAAUGGUUUAGUGAAAUAAAUAUUUUCUGCUCUCCUCAAAUGAAGUAUACCAGGCUUGUUUAACAUGUAAGGUAAAUCUUUUUAAGUAAAUACCUGUCCAAAUCAUAUUAUUAUGUAUGUAGCUAUGUAAUCUCAUAUUUAAAUUGAAAAAUUGCAAUAUAGCCAUGGUGGAGCUUUUUUUUUUUUUUUUUUUUU